CGGCAUGGUCUGAUUUAUUUCCUUUCUUGUUUUUCUGUUUUGUUUUUAGUUGAUUUUGUUUUAGCUGAAGUAUCAUUUUUGUUGUUGUAUUUUAUUGAUUUAAUUUUUUUUGCGAUAGUUUACUUGUACUGUGUGGGGUUGUUAGUUUGUUUUGUGAAAGCUGAUUUUGUUUGUUGUACCUUGUGUAUCAGGGUUCAUUGAAUUUUAUUAUUUAUUUUUAUUUCCCGAUUUUGAAGGAGUUAAUGAUUUAUGCUGGUUGGUGUUUCAUCAUCAUUGGUAAUGGGUUGUUGGUAGUGAGAUGCUAUUCGUCUUUGUUGGUUUCUGGUUUUCCAAGAAAUGAAUUUAAUUCAUGCGCCUUAUUUAGAAUUUAAUGUUGAUUUAUUUUUUUUUAUUUGGCGUUAAGAUUGAGGGGGAUUAGCUCUUUGUUUUAUUGUUAAAAUCCUUUGUGUUCAUUUAUUUAGUUUUGUGGUUUUUAUAGUGAUUUUCGAUUUGAUUAUGUUAGAAUUUUAUUUGUUCUUUUUUUUAAUUUUGGAAUGGGAUUUGGUUGUUUUAUUGGGAUGUUUUCUUUAUUUUUUUUUGUGUGGUAAUUAUUGUGGGAUUAGUAAAUUUCAUUUUUAUGUUGUUUUAUUUUAUGUUAAUUUCUUCUAAGGAAUUAGGCAAAAAUUUUUGUCCGCCUGUUUAACAAAAACAUCUUUUCUUGUUAGUUUUUGAAGUAUGGCCUGCCCACUGACUGGUGUAUUGGUUGAAGGGCCGCGGUAUUUUGACCGUGCAAAGGUAGCAUAGUCAUUAGUUCUUUAAUUGUGAUCUGGUAUGAAUGGUUUGACGAGACAUGUGCUGUCUUUAAUGGAUUUUGUAUUGAAUUUGGGGUUUGAGUUAAAAUUCUUAGAUGUUUUUAUGGGACGAGAAGACCCUAUAGAGUUUGACAUUUAGAUUGUAUAUUUUUGUUGUUUGUUUUGAGUUUUUAUGUGUCUUUUGUUUUGUUGGGGUGAUGGGAGGAAUUUUUUUAACUCUUCUUUUUAUGUGUUAUAUUGAUUUAUAGUUUUUUGAUCCACUUAUUGUGAUUAUAAGAUUAAAUUACCUUAGGGAUAACAGCGUUAUCCUCCCUGAGAGUUCUUAUUGGCGGGGGGGUUUGCGACCUCGAUGUUGGAUUAAGGUUUAUUUUUGGUGUAGGAGCUGAAUUGAUUGGGUCUGUUCGACCUUUAAAAUCUUACAUGAUCUGAGUUCAGACCGGCGUGAGCCAGGUUGGUUUCUAUCUAUAAUAUGUUUUAUGCCUUAGUACGAGAGGACCGGGUAUUUGGAAUAAUUUUAUUUUUAUUGGGGUUUGUUAAUGUGGCUAUUUUGGCAGAUAAGUGCGUUGGAUUUAGAAUCUU
rnacentral:rRNA from 1 species